GCCUCCGUGGUCAAACGGUUAAUUGGCAAGAAAAUGUGUGGUGUGACCAACCGCACGAGGGUUCGAUCCCCUCCGGAGGCA